rnacentral:rRNA from 1 species
CAGUAGCCGCGGUAAUACAGAGGGUGCAAGCGUUAAUCGGAAUUACUGGGCGUAAAGCGCGCGUAGGUGGUUUGUUAAGUUGGAUGUGAAAUCCCCGGGUUCAACCUGGGAACUGCAUCCAAAACUGGCAAGCUAGAGUAUGGUAGAGGGUGGUGGAAUUUCCUGUGUAGCGGUGAAAUGCGUAGAUAUAGGAAGGAACACCAGUGGCGAAGGCGACCACCUGGACUGAUACUGACACUGAGGUGCGAAAGCGUGGGGAGCAAACAGGAUUAGAUACCCGCGUAGUCCCUGUCUCUUAUAC